ACACAGCAGACAGGCUGCCAGCUGCUUUCACACCUGUAGUUUGCAGGAAUUUGGGGUCUUAUCAGAUGGUGCGGGCCGGAGCGAAGCACGUCACCUUCAUAAUGGGGUUCCUCACCAGCUGGACCUGUACUAUUGUUUUGUUCAUCCUCUGCGAGUCCUGCAGGACUGUUUCUUGACCCAGGGGUUUUGUUAACAGGAAGGUUAUGGAAAGUUUACUCAGUUAUGUGCAGAGGGAAUGAAAUUCUGGUCACCACGCCACAAUUAGUAUCAUGCAAUUAAAUUGAUGAAUCUCAGCAUGGUUUGAUUUUCACUGCUCUGCAGGUGAUGAUGCUCGUCUCUAUGAAACAAUCAAAGGAUCCAAAGACACUAAAAAUGAUGCAGAUGAAUCCCAGGAUGAAGAUUUUCUUUGACUGAACUUAAAAACACUGGGAAGAAAGGGAAGCAACAUGAACCAGAGGAGAGCUCUGUUUACUCUGAGGUGAAGAUAGGAACCCCGAGUACAGUCAGUUACAACAGGCCUGCUCAGAGUUUGGAUUAAAAUGUGUCAGAUCACCACACAGUUUAACUUUGUCUGUUUCAUAUUCAUACAGAGAAAUAGGCGUAUCAUUCCUUUUCCCUAAAGGAACAUUUGUCAAAAAAGUACCCUGUACAUAACUUUACCUUUAACAAGCUUAAAGUACAGUGAAAUGAUGUGUCAGUGAUCCCCCGCCCCCAGGACAUGAAAGGUUGGUGAUGGCACAACCACCAAUGUGUCCCUGGGCAAGACACUUAACUCCUAGUUGCUCCAGAGGAGUGCGACCCCAGAUAUAUAUUGUAAGUCGCUUUGGAUAAAAGUAUCAACUAAAUGAAUAAUUGUAAAGGAACAUUUUUGUCACUAGAGGUGCAGAAAAGUUCUUUUAGAGGUUCAGACAAGAAGGUACAAAACUGUACCAACUUCAAAGGUACAGUCCUCGUACGCUGCUAGGGUACAGCUGGAGCGACCAAGCAUUUGUACCUUUUUAGGUCCAUUCCUGUACCUCAAUUUCUGUGUGUGUGUGUGUGUCUCAUUUGUUUCAAUUACAUUUGCAUGUAAUAAACUUAAACUGAAUAGUUUUUUUCACAUUACAUGCACACGUUUUCCUCUGUCUCUUUAAAAAUGUAUUGAUAUGCAUCAUGUUUUUUAUUAUAAUUUUAAAAUCUUUUUGGUUAUUUUAUGUAGCCUAUCAAUAAAAUUUUUU